UUACUCUGAGUAACUGUAACUAGCAGGUGUUACUCUGAUUACUCUGAGUAACUGUAACUAGCAGGUGUUACUCUGAUUACUCUGAGUAACUGUAACUAGCAGGUGUUACUCUGAUUACUCUGAGUAACUGUAACUAGCAGGUGUUACUCUGAUUACUCUGAGUAACUGUAACAAACAGGUGUUACUCUGAUUACUCUGAGUAACUGUAACUAGCAGGUGUUACUCUGAUUACUCUGAGUAACUGUAACUAGCAGGUGUUACUCUGAUUACUCUGAGUAACUGUAACUAGCAGGUGUUACUCUGAUUACUCUGAGUAACUGUAACUAGCAGGUGUUACUCUGAUUACUCUGAGUAACUGUAACUAGCAGGUGUUACUCUGAUUACUCUGAGUAACUGUAACAAACAGGUGUUACUCUGAUUACUCUGAGUAACUGUAACUAGCAGGUGUUACUCUGAUUACUCUGAGUAACUGUAACUAGCAGGUGUUACUCUGAUUACUCUGAGUAACUGUAACAAACAGGUGUUACUCUGAUUACUCUGAGUAACUGUAACUAGCAGGUGUUACUCUGAUUACUCUGAGUAACUGUAACAAACAGGUGUUACUCUGAUUACUCUGAGUAACUGUAACUAGCAGGUGUUACUCUGAUUACUCUGAGUAACUGUAACUAGCAGGUGUUACUCUGAUUACUCUGAGUAACUGUAACUAGCAGGUGUUACUCUGAUUACUCUGAGUAACUGUAACAAGCAGGUGUUACUCUGAUUACUCUGAGUAACUGUAACUAGCAGGUGUUACUCUGAUUACUCUGGGUGUUCU